rnacentral:rRNA from 1 species
GGCGGACUAAGAGGUCAGCCUGCCCAGUGAUAAAAUUCAACGGCCGCGGUAUCCUAACCGUGCGAAGGUAGCAUAAUCACUUGUCCCCUAAAUAGGGACUAGAAUCAACGGCACCACGAAGGCUGUACUGUCUCUUUUCUCUAAUCAGUGAAACUGAUCUCCCCGUGAAAAAGCGGGAAUUAAUUUAUAAGACGAGAAGACCCCAUGGAGCUUUAAGUAAUGUAUUCACCCAGACUCUACUACACCAACUAAACAUAGCAGCCUUGAUUACUAACCUUAGGUUGGGAGGACCGCGGAGCAUAACUAAACCUCCACAACAAAAAGGUAACACCUUUAUCUACGAGUUACAACUCUAAGAAUUAAAACAUUAAUGUCCAAUGACCCGACAAUUCGAUCAAUGAACCAAGUUACCCUGGGGAUAACAGCACAAUCUGCUUAAAGAGCCCGUAUCGACAAGCAGGUUUAUGACCUCGAUGUUGGAUCAGGGUGUCCCAGUGGUGCAGCCGCUACUAUAGGUUUGUUUGUUCAACAAUUAAAACCCUACGUGAUCUGAGUUCAGACCGGAGAUCGGCUGUUUUGUUCUAAACAUAUACGUGGUCUGAGUUCUUGACAAGGACACGCCGCGUUUAUUUAAAAAAAUAUAUUCGAGAUAAGUUUCAAGCACGGAGGCGCGUGUGUUGUAUAAAAGAAACUGGAGUAGA